ACUAUCGUUAUUACGGUCUCAGUCUCUGUGCUCAUUAUCGUUCUGGUGCUUGUUGUGGCCUAUAUUUAUCGAAAAAGAUUUGUAAAAAACAGUGAAAGAGGAAAUUCAGUAACAGAUCAAAAUUCUUCACCGGUUGUUGAAGAGUUGCCAGAAAUGCGAAACCUUUCUAACAACCAAGCAACUCCGAUAGAAUCUGAAAUUUAUGUUAUACCAAGAGCAGAACAAGAAUACCUGUAUGAAAACACUAACCAGAGAAUAUCGUGUGCGCAAUCCCAAGGUCCUGAGUACGAGAAUCCAGGAAGCCCCAAAUACGAAUCUCCUGAAAUCCACCCGAACCAUCAAUACGAGUAUCCUUCUCUCGGUGCGACAGGAAAGAAAGAUGUCGGUGUGAAGGACGGCGAGUAUUUUCCACUUAGAAGGCCGCUAUUUAAAGAUAAUGAAGAUGAUCUGUCCGGUUAUACAUCUCUUUUAAAACUGAAUAGUUCACAAGGUCACAAGGAAGCAACGUGAUUGUCUACAGUGCGUAUUUAUAAGC